CUAACACAUGCAAGUCGAGCGGCAGCACUUAGGGUGGCGAGCGGCGAACGGCUGAGUAACACGUUAGUACCUGCCCCAAACUCAUGGAUAAGCCUUGGAAACGAGGUCUAAUACCGGAUGUUCCAGUAACGGGAAAGAUUUAUCCGGUUUGGGAGGGGCUUGCGACGUAUCACGCUUGUUGGUGAGGUAACUGCUCACCAAUGCUAUGACGCGUAUCUGGUGUGAGAGCACGACCAGACAGAGUGGGACUGAGACACGGCCCACACUCCUACGGGAGGCAGCAGUGAGGAAUUUUCCACAAUGGGCGAAAGCCUGAUGGAGCAAUCUCGCGUGGAGGAUGACCCUUUCGGGGCGUAAACUCCUUCUCUGAGGGAAGAAGUUCUGACGGUACCUCAGGAAUAAAGGGCGGCUAAUUCCGUGCCAGCAGCCGCGGUAAUACGGAAGCCCUAAGCGUUAUCCGGAAUCACUGGGCGUAAAGCGAUCGAAGGUGGACCAGUUAGUCUGACAUCAAAUCCCUGCGGCUCAACCGAGGGUUCGUGUCGGAAACUGCUGGACUAGAGGAAUGCCAGAGGAAACUGGAAAUUUCUGUUGUAGGGGUAAAAUCCGUAGAUAACAGAAGGAACACCAAAAGCGAAUGCAGGUUUCUGGGCAUUUCCUGACGCUGUGCGAUCGAAAGCGUGGGGAGCGAAAGGGAUUAGAUACCCCUGUAGUCCACGCCGUAAACGAUGGAUACUCGGUGU
rnacentral:rRNA from 1 species